rnacentral:rRNA from 1 species
AUGGCCAAGACCAAGCAGGGCAAGAGGGACAUCGACUCCUACACCAUCAGGGGCACCACCAAGGUCGUCCGAGUCGGGGACUGCGUGCUGAUGCGGCCGUCGGACACGGACAACGCGCCCUACGUGGCCCGGGUGGAGAGCCUGGAGUCGGACGGUCGGGGGAGCGUGCGGGUGCGGGUCCGCUGGUACUACCGGCCGGAGGAGUCCAAGGGCGGCCGCCGGCAGUUCCACGGGGCCAAAGAGCUCUUCCUCUCCGACCACUUCGACACGCAGAGCGCACACACCAUCGAGGGCAAGUGCAUCGUUCACUCCUUCAAGAACUACACCAAGCUCGACAACGUCGGCCCGGAAGACUUCUUCUGCCGAUUCGAGUACAAGGCGGCCACCGGAGCGUUCACUCCCGACCGUGUCGCCGUGUACUGUAAGUGCGAGAUGCCGUACAACCCAGAUGACCUCAUGGUGCAAUGCGAGGGAUGCAAAGACUGGUUCCAUCCAACCUGUAUGGGAAUGACCAUUGAGCAGGCCAAAAAGUUAGAUACUUUUCUGUGCGCGGAUUGUGCUAAAGAAAAUGGUGCAAAGAGACCUUCAAAUUCAUACCCGAGUUCACCAAGUUCUGAUUCUAAGGUUGAGCCGAAAAGGCGGAAGAGGUAA